rnacentral:rRNA from 1 species
GCUUAACGUUGCGCGUGCAGUGGGUACGGGCUGACUAGAGUGCAGUAGGGGAGUCUGGAAUUCCUGGUGUAGCGGUGAAAUGCGCAGAUAUCAGGAGGAACACCGGUGGCGAAGGCGGGACUCUGGGCUGUAACUGACACUGAGGAGCGAAAGCAUGGGGAGCGAACAGGAUUAGAUACCCUGGUAGUCCAUGCCGUAAACGUUGGGCACUAGGUGUGGGGGACAUUCCACGUUCUCCGCGCCGUAGCUAACGCAUUAAGUGCCCCGCCUGGGAGUACGGUCGCAAGGCUAAAACUCAAAGGAAUUGACGGGGGCCCGCACAAGCGGCGGAGCAUGCGGAUUAAUUCGAUGCAACGCGAAGAACCUUACCAAGGCUUGACAUACACUGGACCGUUCUGGAAACAGUUCUUCUCUUUGGAGCUGGUGUACAGGUGGUGCAUGGUUGUCGUCAGCUCGUGUCGUGAGAUGUUGGGUUAAGUCCCGCAACGAGCGCAACCCUCGUUCUAUGUUGCCAGCACGUGAUGGUGGGAACUCAUAGGAGACUGCCGGGGUCAACUCGGAGGAAGGUGGGGAUGACGUCAAAUCAUCAUGCCCUUUAUGUCUUGGGCUUCACGCAUGCUACAAUGGCUGGUACAGAG